rnacentral:tRNA from 1 species
AAAGAGUUAGUUUAAUUGGUAAAACAUAUACAAAUUUUGGUUCAAUUCCAAAACUCUUUA